GUUUGUGGCCAUAACACCAUGAAAGUUCAUGAUCUUGUUUGAUCUUGGAAGCUAAGCAGGGUCAGAAAUGGUUAGUACUUGGAUGGGAGACUGCCUAGGAUACCGGCAAAGA
rnacentral:rRNA from 1 species